GGGGGGGCAGGGAACCUGGGCGCAGCCGUGGUGGGUGCGCCCUGCCGAGAGGGGCGGGGGCGCCUGGCGUGCACGCGGAAGAGGGGGUGCAGGGAGGGCGGGCGAGCAAGCGAGCCACGAGAACAGGGAGCGCGCCCGCCGCCGCCGCCCUCCUCCAGAGAGAGAGAGACGCUGGAGCGAGCUGAGCGGAGCGCCGCAUUUCAAUGAGGACGCGCCAAGGCACAGCCCUCCACUAGCGGCUGCAGCCUAGACGCCCGCGCCCCGCAGCUGCGGCAGCUCAGCCCGGUCUAGCCCGCCGCCCAGCCCCGCCCCGCAGCCCCGGCCGCGCCCAGCCCGGCGAGGACAGCAACAGCAGCCGCCCCGUGCGUGCCCACAAAGACUCCCCUGCGGCUUCUCUCCGGGACCGGUUCAACUUUAACCCCAUCAUGUCCUUCGGCAGAGACAUGGAGCUGGAGCAUUUUGAUGAGCGGGAUAAGGCGCAGAGAUACAGCAGAGGGUCAAGGGUGAAUGGGCUACCCAGCCCUACACACAGCGCCCACUGCAGUUUCUACAGAACCCGCACGCUGCAGACCCUUAGCUCUGAGAAGAAGGCCAAGAAAGUUCGUUUCUAUAGAAAUGGUGAUCGAUACUUCAAAGGGAUUGUGUAUGCCAUCUCCCCAGACCGAUUCCGAUCUUUUGAGGCCUUGCUGGCUGAUUUAACCCGAACUCUGUCAGAUAACGUGAAUUUGCCCCAAGGAGUGAGAACAAUCUAUACCAUUGAUGGGCUCAAGAAGAUUUCCAGCCUGGACCAACUGGUGGAAGGAGAGAGUUAUGUGUGUGGCUCAAUAGAGCCCUUUAAGAAGCUGGAGUAUACCAAGAAUGUGAAUCCCAACUGGUCUGUGAAUGUGAAGACCACCUCAGCUUCCCGAGCUGUGUCAUCACUGGCCACUGCCAAGGGGAGCCCUUCAGAGGUGCGGGAGAACAAGGAUUUCAUUCGGCCCAAGCUGGUCACCAUCAUCAGAAGUGGGGUGAAGCCACGGAAAGCUGUCAGGAUUCUGCUGAACAAGAAAACGGCCCAUUCCUUUGAGCAGGUGCUCACUGACAUCACUGAUGCCAUCAAGCUGGACUCAGGAGUGGUGAAACGCCUAUACACCCUGGAUGGGAAGCAGGUGAUGUGCCUUCAGGACUUUUUUGGUGAUGAUGACAUUUUUAUUGCAUGUGGACCUGAGAAGUUCCGUUACCAGGAUGAUUUCUUGCUAGAUGAAAGUGAGUGUCGAGUGGUGAAGUCUACUUCUUACACCAAAAUUGCAUCAUCAUCCCGCAGGAGCACCACCAAGAGCCCAGGGACUUCCAGACGCAGCAAAUCCCCUGCAUCUACUAGCUCAGUUAAUGGAACCCCUGGUAGUCAGCUCUCUACUCCACGCUCAGGCAAGUCGCCAAGCCCAUCACCCACCAGCCCAGGAAGCCUGCGGAAGCAGAGGGACCUGUAUCGCCCCCUCUCUUCGGAUGAUUUGGAUUCAGUAGGCGACUCAGUGUAAAAGAGACAAAGGAGCAAUGUAUAUGGUUUGUGAUUGGGUGAAGGUUUCACAUUUCCUAAGCAAAAAUCUAACAGCAAAUCACACAAAAGAGUUUUGCAUUCCUUGAAAUUAUGACGGCCAAAUUGUAUCAUGAUAAAAAUGUAACCGUUUAAUAUUUGUGAUGUCAGUUGUCAAAGGAGAUUUUUUUUUAGAAAUAUCUCCAAUGUUUAAUGCAAUUGAGGGGGCACUGAGCAUAAAUCAGAUUCUACAACUGUGUUUUGGGGGGGACUAAGUCCUGGGUUUAGAUGAGUUUCUAGGCCCAACAUUGAGUUUAAGAUGCUAUAGUGAUGGAGCACCAUCAUCAUUAUCUCCGUAGAUGGGGCUUUCUCUUAAUCUUAAGUAAGAACUGGAAAUACGUUUUAUUCUACACAUUCAGUAAAGCAGAUUAAAAUUGCAGGAGCAAACUUUUUUUCUUAAAAGUUGUAUUCUUUUUUCAAUUAGGAUUGCUGAUUUGAGAAGUAUUUUUACUGCAAAAAAUUAAAAUAUUCAAUAAGAAUUUUUUUUUGCUUCCUAAAGAAAAGACAAAACUAUUUUGUUGGUACAGGUUAAAAUAUUUGAGUAAAAAUAUUCAUGGUGUGGUCAAAUCUCAUGGAGACUACAAUAUUAGGCAUUAUGAACUUUCCUAGUUUUUGUUCUCAAGUAAAUUUUAUUUUUAAAAUUCUAUUGGAAGGAAAAUAAAUAUGCAUAGAUAAACUCUAUAUCAUCAUGAAGAACUGGUAUGGGUGCAUUGUGUAAAGCAAAUGCCCCCCUCCCAUAGUCACCUACUGCAAUUUCUCAAAUGUGUAAAGAUUAAGCCUAAGAAUAAAAAUUUUACAUAUAGACCUAAAAUAUUUUUGUUCAGAAUUCUUCCCAAAAAAUCAAUUUGAAAAGCAAAGUUUUCUCAGUUAAUGUUAUGUAAGUCUAGCCCCUAACCAUCUAAAUUUUCAUUCUAAGUUAGUGCUACAUGAACCAGGCCCUCAAAUAUCUAAAAUUUCAUUCUGAUAAAUUCUUGCUCUUUCUGAUGUUUCUGGAAACUUUAAUAUGCAAAACUCCUUUUGUGUUCAACCAAGGUAGUCAGUGAUUACAACCCUUUAUUAAACAUUAACCUACUAAUUCUGCUCUUGUAGUCCUCUUUAAAAAUAUAGUCAGCUUCGCUUAAACAUAAAGUAAUGAUUUUAAAAUUAGUAUGUUAAAAAUCAAUUUUAUGUGUAUGAUCUGUUGUAUUUAAAUUGCACCCUAGUAGUCGUUUACUUUUACUAGUUCAAACACUAACAAUUUUAUGAUUUGUAAAGCAUGGUUUUGAGAUUCUGCAGACUUGAAUUCUCAUAGUAGGUGAUAAUUUUAAAAUGGAUGAUGCUGUUUGGAGGCUUUUACUUGAGUUACUUUUUUUUCAAAUUUUACUGGAAAAUUACAUUUAAAAAGAAAACAUUUAAUUCAAGAUGGAGGGUAAUUCAGUAAUUAUAUAUGGUUCUUGAAUAUUAUCAAUUCAUCUCUUUGAUACGUUGUUCAACUCUAAGAAUUCACCAUCUGGUUUAUAGUUACAUAUGUUACUUUCUCACUUUCCAAGUGAGUAAAAUAUUCCAACCAAAAUAAUGAUAAUAAUAUCAAAAAGCAGUCCAGGCAAUUUAACCAUGUUGGAAACUUAGCCUUAUAAUAAUUAGUGUCAUUAUCAUGUCUGCUGCAGAGAAAGACAUUUCUCUGGCAGGUUAUUCAAAAGCUGCAAACUGAACCAUUCCAUCUUGAAAGAAUAGUUCAUAAUAGUACCUGUUCCAGACUUCAGGUUUUAAAACUGUUUUCAAUAGAAAUGAACAGAGAGACAAGAGACUCCUGCUGAGAUCAAAAGGCUGCUUGUUUUAACUGAAACACUAAACAUCUGUGAAGUUGCCUAUGCUAGUGUCUGUUUUAGUUAUGUCUUUGUAAAAUGCAUUACUUAAUACAGUUGAGUCCAAAAAAGAUUAGUAUGCAUUUGACUGAACUGUCAAAAAUGCAAAGAAAGCAUUGGAACAGUUAACUGUGGUGGGGGUCAGAUGGCCCAGAACAAAAAUAAAUUCCAAUAAUUUUAGCUUCCCUGUGCUGUCAAUCUUACUGGCAACUACUGCUUAGAAAGGUCCAAUAAAUACUAUUUGUUCUGGAUAAGUGGCAGAUAUUGCCAAUUGAUAUGAAGUCCAUGGCUUUGUUUAGACACAACAGAAAAAAAAAACUGGACUUGUACUAAUUGCUGAUAGAUAUCAUGGCCAACUUUCCAUUCAAGCAGUUCCAAGGGAAAUGCUGUUACCCAGAAUUUAAUAUUUUGAACAUAUGACUUUUAUUACGGAACUGUUCAGGGGCAGUAUAUAUCAUUUACUUUUUGAAACUGAAGUCCCUCCGAGAUUGAAACAGCACACCAUUUAUAGACUUUAAGAUCUCUUUCUCUGCAGAGUGUAAUUCCAUGAUACUAACGCCAAAAUAAAAAAAGAUCUUUAGCAGCAAACCAGAAGUUUUCAAUUCAUUGGUGGAACCAAAUUGCUGAUUUAUGGGCACUUAAGAUUUUACUUACUUAUAGAAUUCUUUUUAAAAAAUUAGAAACUGAAUCUUGAAAUUAUCCUCCAAGGCAGGAGAGAACUCCAGCAAAAGCCAUGCAUUAUUGUCCUUCUAGUAAGCCUUCUAUGUGCUCUCACUAAUAUGCUCACUUUGUUUGCUUUUAGACAACCUAGAAAAAGGCAGAAAUAUUACCUACUGUCAGCAUUUUAGAAAUGUAAAGCCUAAUUAAAUAACCAAAUGUGAAGUUCAGUGUGAACUCAAAAUGACUGAUUCUGAGAGUCAUGUAGUUUAUUUCUUCUUUGUCUUGCUUAAUCAAUUAAGUGGGGGAAAUUUCACAAUGUUUCUAUACUGUCACAUACUUUAAAGAUGUGUCAGUUACACUCUCAUAUCCUUUUGUUCAUAUAUUGGCUCUUCUACAUAUUAAAAAUAAAAUAAUAAUUUUUAAAAACAUUUUGAACCAGCACUUAUGUAUUAUAUGUAUUCUCCUCAUUAACUUUCGGUUGCAUUCACUGCCCACUUAUAUUCAACUAGGCUUCUUUUUUUUCAUUUGAAGACAGUGAAGUCUAAAAACCACAUUUCUUAUGAAAUGUGAAUAUGAUGAAAUCAUAGAAUCAUACCUGAAGAAAUAAUUCCGUAGAUUUUAGCCAUUGAACAGCUGAAUUUUUCACAUGUGGCCAUAUAUCUGUACAGGUGUGAAGGUGCUUAUGUACAUUUUUGUUUGGGUGUGCUUAUAUCAAUAAAAAUAUCUGUGUGUGUGUAUAGAUAAUAAAUAGUAAAAGUAUGGUAUUUGUGACACAGACUUACAAGUUACUGGCUCUUACAGAAUUGUAUAUGAAACCUUCAUGUCAUAAAUUAUUACAUGUAACAUAUUAGUUAGAGAAUGUUUAAGUUCAAAAGUAGUUUACUAAACUAAUAUGGCAAACUAAUUCCAAAUAGUCAGAUGCACUGAUAUACAAAAAAAAAUUGCAAUCUAAUAUUUAGCUAAAUCAAAAUAUUUAAAAUUGAGACAAAUUCACUAUUAUGUUAACUACUAAAUACAAUCAUUGCAUGUUAUGUCUUGAUAUUCAGUUAUUGAAAUGAAUGAAUAUUAUUCCCAAGGUUUCUCUAAUGUGUGCAUGUUUAUGACAUGUAGUGAUUAUUGAUUUUACCAAAAAAGAAAUAUUUUAAAAAUAAGUUAAAAUAAGUUAAAAAUAAUAUUGCAACAUAAAUAGAAGAGACUCAAAACUAUAAUUGUUUUCAAAUAAGUUUAAUAACAAAGCCAGAUAACCUGUAAGGUAAUUUUAUAUGUUCUUGGAAAACACUAUUCUAAACUGCUGGCAUAUUAUGAGUAAUAACUUCAUUAUACUUGAUAUACUUAUAUAUCCUUCAAAAAUUGUUGAAUAAACUUACUGUAUAUGCAUACGUUCAUUCAUUUAUGCAUAUUUGCAUUAGUGUUGCUAGCACCUCUAACUGUGCAUGUUAAUGACAAAUGUAUUUGAUUGGCAUAUGUUAAAGAAGUAUAGGAUGAAAAUGAGAGAUAUAUUGAAUUCAAUAUACCAGAUGCCUGAUGCAGUUUGUUAUAAUGUGAACUGAAAAACAUCUGUAAUUAUGUGCCUGUAAUGCAUGUGGAAAAGAUAGAAAAUCUGAGACCCUAGCUAUAAUUCUUAUGGGUGCAUGAUAUAUAGUGUAUUUAAAAUGUGGUUCAUUUUAGUAAAGAUGACAGAUAAAUUCCAAGAUAGUAUAAAUGAUGCAUGUAAUAUAUGGGUGUUUGUAUUAUAUAUGGCCACAAAAUGUUUUUGAAGCUAGGGUAGUAGGUAUCUGAAAGGUUAUAAUAAGGCAAAGGACUAUGAAAGUUCAUUUUCUUCUGAUGCUCUUUGAAUUUGUAUUCAUCAGCAAGCAAGGAAUUUGAUUUAUUUGUUUUAAGGAAAUCUUGCUUUGAAAUACACUAUGGAUAUUGUAAGUUUGGAUAGGGUUUUCAUAAAAGAAUUUACAUUCUUUCUACUUAUAGGUGUUUUUUUUUUAGAUGUAUAUCACUUUAAAAAGUCAUUUGGUGUUGAGAUGUUUUAAACAACAAUAUGUUUAAAAUUCAUCAGUCUGGGCCAUCAGCAGGGUUUUAUAGAGCUAAAUGAUGAAAUGUCUCAUUGCACUGUCCAAUUUUGAAGGUUCCAUCAUUUUGUGCUGUAGUUUCAUUGUAAAAUGUUUUACCUUGUGUUUCACACUGGACCAUGUUAUUCUUCUCAAAGUUAACUUUGUGACACUUACCACCUUAGAAUAACUAUAAUAAACAGGAAAAACAGUC